rnacentral:rRNA from 1 species
UACGAAGGGGGCUAGCGUUGCUCGGAAUUACGGGGCGUAAAGGGCGCGUAGGCGGUUCGUUAAGUUAGAGGUGAAAGCCCAGGGCUCAACCCUGGAAUUGCCUUUGAUACUGGCGGCCUUGAGUAUGGCAGAGAUGUGUGGAACUCCGAGUGUAGAGGUGAAAUUCGUAGAUAUUCGGAAGAACACCAGUGGCGAAGGCGACACACUGGGCCAUUACUGACGCUGAGGCGCGAAAGCGUGGGGAGCAAACAGG